rnacentral:lncRNA from 1 species
CAAAACUUUCUGUAUGCUUACAAUUGGCUAGUUAUUUUUAGGUUGCAAAGAGGAUUUCUGCAGGAUCCCUUUUCAUUUCCAGAAAAUCUAAAGGACUGUUCUCUAGCUCUAGCAAGUCUCAGAAAACCUCUUCUCUGAAGAUGAAAGUCUCUCAUGCUUCAUUACCACAUUUUCACUGAAGUAGCACACAUCUCUCUAGGCAGAGAAAUGAUGGGGUGAUUGCUGAUUAGCUUGCUGGGGCUGAAAGCUUCUGAGCGGCAAUGUCAAUAGCUCUAGUGCAUGGCCGUAAUGAGACUCCGAGCUCUCCCCUGACCUCAGGCUCCUGAUCCAGCUGCUGACCCCUGCUACAAUCACACCUCCAUUUUCUUUUCUUUCUGUGGACCCGGCUGCCGAGGAGGACUGCGUUCCACUGAGGUGUCCGGAGGGAAGGAGAAGGGCCAGUCU